rnacentral:lncRNA from 1 species
UUUUUUCAUUUUCAUUAACGAAACAACGUCAUUUUCAACCCUGGCGAAACAACGUCAUUUUCAACCCUAAGGAAACAACAACAUUUUUAACCCUAACGAAACAACAACAUUUUCAACCCUAAUGAAACAACAACAUUUUCGACCAACUUCAUUGUUCUUUGCUUACAAACCAUCGAUGAGGAAGACGGCAUCAACUUCAUCAUUAUUGGCUUAAACCGUUGAGGAGGAAGACAAAGAUUCUGACAAUAUUUUUUUACUUAUUCAUCAUGUUUUCGGUACGUAAAC